rnacentral:rRNA from 1 species
UACGUAGGGUGCAAGCGUUAAUCGGAAUUACUGGGCGUAAAGCGUGCGCAGGCGGUUUUGUAAGUCUGUCGUGAAAGCCCCGGGCUCAACCUGGGAAUUGCGAUGGAGACUGCAAGGCUUGAAUCUGGCAGAGGGGGGUAGAAUUCCACGUGUAGCAGUGAAAUGCGUAGAGAUGUGGAGGAACACCGAUGGCGAAGGCAGCCCCCUGGGUCAAGAUUGACGCUCAUGCACGAAAGCGUGGGGAGCAACAGG